AUCCCACCGAGGCCACCAUAGACCAGCCAGCCCUCAGCGUACAUGCCAGCUAAUUACAGAUGCAGGAGCAAACCCCUGGCCCAUACAUCAAUUUUAAUGUCAUUGAAUACAGAGAACAAAUCUCAUUCACUUUGGUAUCGGCUGGAGUCAACAAACAUUUAAAAAUCAUUUACUGCGUCUGAUUUUGGGUAUGUUGAAUUGGUGACGUCUGAGUUGCUUCUGGUCUAUCCUGAUAGAAACAUACAGUAAACAGAGAAAAAAAAGGAUCUCAGGUGAGAUGAUGUAUGGGAAUGCUCAGCAUACAGAAUGAAUGGAUAAGAGGCCUGAAAACAUAAUCCUGUAAACAACCAUAUUGAAAGAGAAGACAGAAGACAUCAAACAGAUGGAGUUUCGCUCUUGUUGCCCAGGCUGGAGUGCAACGGCACGAUCUCAGCUCACCGCAACCUCAGCCUCCCAAGUUCAAGCAAUUCUCCUGCCUCAGCGUCCUGAGUAGCUGGAAUUACAGGAUUUUGGAAGCAUUGCCUUCUACAGAAUCCACAGUAGUCCGAAGCUCUUCUACGGUUUUUGUCAAACUUUGAUUUUCCAUCUCUAGCUUCAAUAAUCUACUUGAUGUCAACUCAUUCACCUCAUGGCCCAGGGAUUUCUGGGGUGCUAUAAUAUUGAAAAAUACACCAUUGUAUUUACUCUUUACUGUUUUUACUAUGUUUACUCUUUACUAUUUAAAAAGUUGAGUGUAUAUGCAUUG
rnacentral:lncRNA from 10 species